GUUCUGGGCCGCACGCGCGCUACACUGAUGUAUUCAACGAGUAUAUAGCCUUGGCCGACAGGCCCGGGUAAUCUUGGGAAAUUUCAUCGUGAUGGGGAUAGAUCAUUGCAAUUGUUGGUCUUCAGUGAGGAAUGCCUAGUAAGCGCGAGUCAUCAGCAGCUCGCGCGUUGGUUGACUCCCUGCCCU
rnacentral:ncRNA from 1 species